ensembl:rRNA 5S_rRNA 5S ribosomal RNA
GUCUGCAGCCAUACCACCCCAAAUGCGACCAAUCUUGUCUGCUCUCAGAAGCCAAGUAGGGUCAGGCCUUGUUGUGACU